CAAUUCAGUUCGUGCUCUCUUAUGGCACUUUGAGCAGAAAUUAAUCAGUUCGAAGCUGGUGACAUUUCAGGUACUUGUGAUUCCAGUAGUAAAACUACAUUGGACACUGCCUUCCCGUCUCCUGUGCUAAUGAAACCGAGGCGGUCAGGCGACACAUAGAGAUUUAGAUUCCAUUAUAUCUCAGCAAAUAUUCAGAAAGCCAGCACCCACAUGAGAAGCCAACAGCUGACAGUCACCCAAGAAGCUGACACCCUGCCCAGACAGCACGGACCUUCCACUCACUCUUAGACAACCAGCCAGACGAGCAUAUACUGCCACAGCUACCCUGAAAUGGACUUCCAUCAGUUACACCAGCGAACGAUAACUGGCAACUAUAACAGCUGACUGUGCACUUUGAUUUCUCAAACUUGUGGGAAAUUGUGCGGAUAGGGCUGUAAAAACAUGGACUCAACGCCAGAAAAAUUCUUUGUAUGAUGUACUGUUU
rnacentral:lncRNA from 1 species